rnacentral:rRNA from 1 species
GACGUAGGGUGCAAGCGUUGUCCGGAGUUACUGGGCGUAAAGGGCGCGUAGGCGGCCAUUCAAGUCAUGGGUGAAAUACCGGGGCUUAACUCCGGGGGUGCCUGUGAAACUGGGUGGCUUGAGGGCCGGAGAGGUCAGCGGAAUUCCCGGUGUAGCGGUGAUAUGCGUAGAGAUCGGGAGGAACACCAGUGGCGAAGGCGGCUGUCUGGACGGUACCUGACGCUCAGGCGCGAAAGCCCGGGGAGCAAACGGG